UUUUUUAUGUUGCGGUCGGAUGUCAACAACAGCUGCUUUAGCAGAAAAACUUUGAAGUUGGCGAUGUGAAAAGUUUGAUCCGUGUGCUGAUUAAAGGCUGUGAGUUUGUUCGUGCAUGGUGUAGCUGAACGUUGUUGCUACAGGAGCACCAUGUCGAUGUGGGUCCAGGCACAGCAGCUGCAGGGGGAGGCAUUGCACCAGAUGCAGGCGCUAUACGGCCAGCACUUCCCCAUCGAAGUGCGACAUUACCUGGCCCAAUGGAUUGACAGUCAGCUCUGAGCACUUACGACCGCUGUCCUUUGGAGCUGGUGCGCUGCAUCAAACACAUCCUCCGUUCAGAGGAGAGACUGGUUCACGAGACGACAAAUGUA